UUUGGACUUCUACCUUCCAGAACGCUGACUUCAACAUUCCAAGCAUUAAUUAAUUUAAAAAAGACAUCAGAAGCCAUGCCAGAGAGACUCUUUGUCACAGUCUGAUUAUGAAUCUGGAAUGACAUAAUGGACUGAAAGAUAUGUUUGCAACACGCAAGGUCAUCUCUUCAACCUUUAACCCAGUGCUGGAAGGAAGAAAAAUUUGAACACAAAGAGACACCAAAGAUGCUAGUGCAGAUAAGAGACCAUGUGAGGACAGUGAGAAGACAGCUCCUUGCAACUUAGGAGGGAGGC
rnacentral:lncRNA from 1 species